rnacentral:rRNA from 1 species
AUCCUGGCUCAGGAUGAACGCUAGCUACAGGCUUAACACAUGCAAGUCGAGGGGAAACGAUAUUGGAAGCUUGCUUCCGAUAGGCGUCGACCGGCGCACGGGUGAGUAACGCGUAUCCAACCUGCCCAUCACUUGGGGAUAACCUUGCGAAAGUAAGACUAAUACCCAAUGAUAUCUCUAGAAGACAUCUGAAAGAGAUUAAAGAUUUAUCGGUGAUGGAUGGGGAUGCGUCUGAUUAGCUUGUUGGCGGGGUAACGGCCCACCAAGGCGACGAUCAGUAGGGGUUCUGAGAGGAAGGUCCCCCACAUUGGAACUGAGACACGGUCCAAACUCCUACGGGAGGCAGCAGUGAGGAAUAUUGGUCAAUGGACGAGAGUCUGAACCAGCCAAGUAGCGUGCAGGAUGACGGCCCUAUGGGUUGUAAACUGCUUUUAUAAGGGAAUAAAGUGGGAGUCGUGACUCUUUUGCAUGUACCUUAUGAAUAAGGACCGGCUAAUUCCGUG